rnacentral:lncRNA from 1 species
AAUGUUUGCCAUACACAGUUCGAUUCCAAGCUUAAAUGGAAAGAAAUACAGGUUGGCCUGUUAAAGCUUUGAACAGAGCCAUAAAGAGGAGCGGAGGAGUGGGCAUGGGAACAAAAAAAAAGUAGGGGGAAAAGGAGUUCAUGAAGUGAUGCACACUGUAUAGCUUGACUACUAACAUGUUUGUGAAAGUUAAUCAACUACUUGCAAUUUUUCAAAAUCCUAAUAAUCCAUCUCUUACAAAAAGAUUAAUAAUCAAUCCACUGGCUUGGUAGCUGGUACAGAUGGAAAAAAGAAUGGGAAAAUGACAUUAAAGAUCCAUGGCGUUGCUCUGAAAAACAGCUCUGGAGUCCUCUGCUUAGGCCUUGGAGGGCACUGAAGCUGGACUGUAGAAUGCAUAGUUGGGAUCAAAUACCGUAUCGGGUGCAUGAAAGAUCGUAGUAAUUGAAGUAGUAAUUGCCUUCUCAUCUAACAAUACUCCAUCGGAGAAAUCUGAAAAAACCAAAAAAGUAGUAUCAGAUUGCAAUACUGCUGCAUAAUAACACCCACUUCUUAGUUCUCACAAGAGCAAAUUGGGAAAAUACUAGCAAUUUACUUCUCAAACCAUUAUGCUCCAACGGCCACAAGUCCCGAGGCUUUUAAAAUGAUAAUGUUUCCUUUUUAAAGUGUUUUUUUUACUUAAAAGAAUAUUAAAAUAAUAUAUUUUUUUAUUUUUUAAAAUUUAUUUUUAACAUCACCAAAUCAAAACAAUCCAAAAACACUAAAAAUAUUAAUUUAAAAAAAAAAACAAAUUUUGACAAAAAACAUGUUGAAACUCACUCUUAAACACCCCAUUACUAGCAUUCAUUACCAAGACAAAAGAAUUAUAUUAUUAAUUAGAAGCCAUGUCAAUUUUUUUUUAACCUUUAAUUAACUAUAUUCUCUGCAUAAUCCGACUCUUUUUUUCUCUAGCAAUAUUUUAUACAUUAAACUAUAUUUCGGUUUCACUUGCCAAAAAGAACUGAAAUUGGAAGUAAAACGAUUCCGGUAUAAAGUAUGGGCCUUACCUAACCGUAUAGAGAUGGUUUAUAUGUAUAUGAAGUUUUCAUUAUCAAAGCUACCAGGUAGAAGAGAUAACCCUACAACAACAGAAUUACAAACAGCAGAGAAUAUGUAUUACGAACACAAGUGAACAAGAACGUCAACUAAAAGAAUGACCUAAUUCAAGCAUCUACCACAAAAAUCUGGAAUCAUUCACAGCAGCCAAGUAUUGAACAAGAAUUGAAUAAUCUGAUGAAUCAAAACAACAUUAUUUGAGCUCUCAGAUUUGUGAAUUCUCAUUUAUUGAGUAGCCUAGUUUGCGGAUGCACAUAAAUCAGAAACUCUCUUGAUGCAACAAUAUCUGGGACAGAAAAUUGACAGAUGCACUGGAAUUCAAGAGCUGAAAGUAAACCCAAUUUUAAUGCAAGUCCUUUUGACCAGCAACUUUUUUUUCACCACAAAAAGGUCUCCUUUUGCUGUUUGGUUACCAAAAACACUUAAACACAAGGUGCUUUACGCUCCAUGGGCAUCUUUUUUCCUUUUGCUUUAAGAGCUUUUCAUGAUGACGCUUAUUAUAAUAAUGCAAAACAAAGAUUUAGCAAAAGCACAAAUUUCCACUCUAACAAAGCACAUCCCAGCAUUAGGGGACCCUCAUACUUGCCUCCUUAACUUUACAUCCUCUUUGUGCGUGUGUGACAAACCAUUCAAGAACACAAUCCAACAAACGACCAUUAGGUACACACAAAUUCAUUAUUUUCAAACCACUGUAUAUUAACAUUGCAAGUCUCAGUCCCCCACUACAUAGCUUUCCAAUUUUUCUACCAGAUGCACAAUUUCUACUCUCUUUUUUUUUUUUUCAAUUCUCAGAUUAAUAGAAUAGUAAAAUCAGAUAAUUGAAGCAUGUAAAAUAAGAAUCGAAUACUGGAAGACCAGCAGCUUGUGCCACACUUUCCCUGUGUUCCAAACAGAAAGUUCAAGACCAAGUUGUUUGAAGAAAAAUGGGAAUGGAUUGUAUAGAAAUCAUAAGUUGCAGAAAAUUUACUCUUCAUGCAUUAAAUAAACAUUGCAACAAGCCCUUACAAGUUAUAAAGGGGGUGGCAUUCACAUUCUUCAGAGCAGUCACUGAAGACAAGAGAAAUUGAGACGAUUUGCCUCUUAUAAAUUAAGAUUUCACCGCCAAAUUAAGACUGGGCAUCAAUGUCUGAUUAAAGCAUUCAAAACCAACUGUCAAGUUACAAAGCUUCAAAAAAUGUGAAUGACAUUGCUGCGUUGGAAAUUCUUGUUCCUUGGUAAACACUAGAUAGGCCAAGGAAAGCUGCAAUUCCAGUUUACUAAAUCAACUAUACUUCUAGUAAAUUCACUGCUUGAAAACAGAUAGCUUGAGCAACAAAUGCACAUUUUAAGAAACAGAGCUGACCUCAAAAGAUUUGCAUUAGAAGAACGCCAGCUCUAAGAGGAAGCGCUUGCAGAGGCAGGCAAGUGGUCCACGACCAAUGGGGCAAGAGCAGCUUGGUGGUUUACCUCAUUUUUGUUUAUGGGCCUUGUACAUCUCUUCCAUUUCAACCACAACUAACCUCUUCACCUGAUGGAAAAUUAAAUAAUGUAUUAGAACACAAUGCCCUAAAAGUAGAAGAAAUUGCAAAUAUUUGAACAAAUCUUUUCCUUAGAAUAUAUAAAACUUGGGCUUUGAAAGCAUUGAAUGCAUUCAUGUCUUCACCCUUUCACCUGCGUUGUCAGCUAAAACAUCUGAACAAAGCUAUAUUGCAAAGAAAAUGAAGUUGCACAGUAACAAACACUACAGGAAGAGAUGACUAAAAGUAAAAAAAUAAAAAACAUUUUGAGCCAUUCCUUUACUAUAGAGAGUUUGGUUCAUUUAUUCAUCAAAUCUAUUCUCUAAAUUCAAGAGAAAAACCAAUUCCCUAAUACAGACAAACAAAUAAAUUCUUAAAAAAAGAUGGACCUAGCAACAGCCCCAAUUCAGGCUCAAGCUAAGACAGGUCAUAAACUGAUUCGAAUCAAGAUUGUUUAUGAAACUAAAAGCGGAGAUUAAGAGAAAAUGUAAGAUUUUUUAACUCACCUUAAUAAGUAUUAUUAGGUGAGGCCUGAUCCCUCAAACUUCCUUUAUAAGAUUGUUAAAUUUGUUUAUGUUCGCAUUCUCUCCAUCGAAAUCUCUGUCUCUGCUCUCUAUCCAAUAGUAAUGAAUAAUGAUGGAAAGAUAAGGAAGAGCAGAUGCGUUCCCUUUUUCAAAUUUCUGGCAACUUUAGGAUAUGUUAUUUUAUAUUUAAAAAAACCCAUAAAAAAUAGAUAAAUAGAUAAACAAUUUUAACUACCCAAAAUGGAAACUGGGGAUAAAUGGGAUCCCUAUUCGAGAAUUUCA